UACGUAUGGAGCAAGCGUUAUCCGGAUUUACUGGGUGUAAAGGGGGCGCAGACGGCGAUGCAAGCCAGGAGUGAAAGCCCGGGGCCCAACCCCGGGACUGCUCUUGGAACUGCGUGGCUGGAGUGCAGGAGGGGCAGGCGGAAUUCCUGGUGUAGCGGUGAAAUGCGUAGAUAUCAGGAGGAACACCGGUGGCGAAGGCGGCCUGCUGGACUGCAACUGACGUUGAGGCCCGAAAGCGUGGGGAGCAAACAGG
rnacentral:rRNA from 1 species